GAUGAACGCUGGCGGCGUGCCUAAUACAUGCAAGUCGAGCGAACAGACGAGGAGCUUGCUCCUCUGACGUUAGCGGCGGACGGGUGAGUAACACGUGGAUAACCUACCUAUAAGACUGGGAUAACUUCGGGAAACCGGAGCUAAUACCGGAUAAUCUAUUGAACCGCAUGGUUCAAUAGUGAAAGACGGUUUUGCUGUCACUUAUAGAUGGAUCCGCGACGCAUUAGCUAGUUGGUAAGGUAACGGCUUACCAAGGCAACGAUGCGUAGCCGACCUGAGAGGGUGAGCGGCCACACUGGAACUGAGACACGGCCCAGACUCCUACGGGAGGCAGCAGUAGAGAAUCUUCCGCAAGGGGCGAAAGCCUGACGGAGCAACGCCGCGUGAGUGAUGAAGGUCUUCGGAUCGUAAAACUCUGUUAUUAGGGAAGAACAAUUGUGUAAGUAACGAUGCACGUCUUGACGGUACCUAAUCAGAAAGCCACGGCUAACUACGUG
rnacentral:rRNA from 1 species